rnacentral:rRNA from 1 species
GACGAACGCUGGCGGCGUGCCUAAUACAUGCAAGUAGAACGCUGAAGCGAGGAGCUUGCUCUUCUUGGAUGAGUUGCGAACGGGUGAGUAACGCGUAGGUAACCUGCCUGGUAGCGGGGGAUAACUAUUGGAAACGAUAGCUAAUACCGCAUAAAAUGGAUUAUCGCAUGAUAAUCCAUUGAAAGGUGCAAAUGCAUCACUACCAGAUGGACCUGCGUUGUAUUAGCUAGUUGGUGGGGUAACGGCUCACCAAGGCGACGAUACAUAGCCGACCUGAGAGGGUGAUCGGCCACACUGGGACUGAGACACGGCCCAGACUCCUACGGGAGGCAGCAGUAGGGAAUCUUCGGCAAUGGACGGAAGUCUGACCGAGCAACGCCGCGUGAGUGAAGAAGGUUUUCGGAUCGUAAAGCUCUGUUGCAAGAGAAGAACGAGUGUGAGAGUGGAAAGUUCACACUGUGACGGUAUCUUACCAGAAAGGGACGGCUAACUACGUG